rnacentral:rRNA from 1 species
AGUGAACGCUGGCGGUAGGCCUAACACAUGCAAGUCGAACGGCAGCACAGGAGAGCUUGCUCUCUGGGUGGCGAGUGGCGGACGGGUGAGGAAUACAUCGGAAUCUACUCUGUCGUGGGGGAUAACGUAGGGAAACUUACGCUAAUACCGCAUACGACCUACGGGUGGAAGCAGGGGACCUUCGGGCCUUGCGCGAUUGAAUGAGCCGAUGUCGGAUUAGCUAGUUGGCGGGGUAAAGGCCCACCAAGGCGACGAUCCGUAGCUGGUCUGAGAGGAUGAUCAGCCAAACUGGAACUGGGACACGGUCCAGACUCCUACGGGAGGCAGCAGUGGGGAAUAUUGGACAAUGGGCGCAAGCCUGAUCCAGCCAUACCGCGUGGGUGAAGAAGGCCUUCGGGUUGUAAAGCCCUUUUGUUGGGAAAGAAAUCCAGCUGGCUAAUACCCUGGGCUAAUGACGGUACCGUAAGAAUAAGCACCGGCUAACUACGUGCCAGCCGCCGCCGUAACAC